AUGUGUAAAGACACAGCAUCUUGGCUGUCUGCUAAAAAAAUGUACACUCACUUGGUGGAGAUUGAACCGCGGACUGCAAAAUAUCCCAUGGCAGAUUAUCAUCAUUUAAGAGAGCCUGUGCACCGAAAAACGCCGAUCUGCUUGGCCGACAGAAGCCGGGAACAGUUCAGUCCAACUCUUUGCGAUUUUAAGAGGUAAGAGCCCGGGAGAGUGUGCCGUCUAUCGGGGGAUGCUUUCGUGCCGGUUGCAGCUGGCGUCUAGAAGAAAGCCAUUUGCCUAGUACCUGCAUGUAGAAAAAGCCUGUCGGAAUGAGAUUUUUGUUGUGAUAAAUAUUUAACCUAGCUGGAAUUUUUCUGGAUUGGCUCUAUUCAUCUUCUGUGGCUGGUGAAUGCGCGUGUCUGCGCAGACAAAGAAGUAUAUGGGACCUGAGUAAUAGCGAUCCUUAUAGAGGCAUUGGGAACAGGAAGGAUGCAAAGUCAUUUGGAGAGCGAAAGAGGUUGAGAAUUUCUUUGUCCAUUGCUCCUUCCCAAAUCAAAGUGGUAAGGCAAGAGAGAGAUAGUUGGAGCCUUUUCAGUGCUGAAUGGCUUAUCGCGGCUUGUUUGUUUGCCUCCUCCUUGAGGAGCUCCGCAGCGAGUCCUGCGUGUUUUGCGAUUGGAAAUGUUGAGCUGAUGUGGCGGUGUUAGAAAAGCUGACUUUUGUCUGAGUACAUGCAGCAGAAGGGAUCCUAACCAAGCUGCAGGUAUUUGUCUCUCCCGGCCUUGUUAGCACCGGACGUAGGUUGGUGUUUAAUUAGGGAGAGUUGUUAGAAUCCGAGGUGCGAUUGUUCCUCUGACAACAGCAGUGUAAAGCUUUCCGCAGCGAGCACUGUCUUACGGCAGCCCUAGAGGAGGGAGGAUUACAGAGAAUUAGCUUAAAAUCUUGCUAGAUUUACCUGCUUAUUUUUGGACGCUGAUGUACAAUUAGUAUAUUUUACUACCUUUUAAAAGCAGCCAUCAGUUACAGGACUACAAGGGCUCUUUGUGUUGACUUAAUGGGCUGCUUAAAUCUUAACUAGAAAAAGCCACUGCAAAUGCCUAUUCACUCUUAGGAUGGGAAAUUAAAAGCGAAAAUAUGAUAGAAAGAAUAACCAGACCUUCCUCCGGUGGCAUGUAUCUCCAACUUUUCGUGCAGAGAUAUUUUGGAUUCCUAAAAUGACCCAGCACUCACAGACUCAGCUCAUUCUCGUCAGAACUACUUUCACAAGGCUACAGUAGAUAGCUGUAUUAUUUUUAUCUGCUUCGAAAUGAUCAAAGACCAACUUUAUCUCUAUCAGACGCACAGAUGUAGGUAAAAAGCUCUGCAUCCCCGCAGAUUUCAAACCUUUCGAGGAAGCAAGGAAAUAAAUACUUGUAUCAUAUGGUGUUUCCCA
rnacentral:lncRNA from 1 species